UACGAAGGGGGCUAGCGUUGUUCGGAAUUACUGGGCGUAAAGCGUAUGUAGGCGGAUCGUUAAGUCGGGGGUGAAAUCCCGAGGCUCAACCUCGGAACUGCCUUCGAUACUGGCGAUCUUCGAGUCCGGGAGAGGUGAGUGGAACUCCGAGUGUAGAGGUGAAAUUCGUAGAUAUUCGGAAGAACACCAGUGGCGAAGGCGGCUCACUGGUCCGGUACUGACGCUGAGGUGCGAAAGCGUGGGGAGCAAACAGG
rnacentral:rRNA from 1 species